AGGGAUUACAGGUGUGGGUUACAGGGGUACAGGUGUGUGUUAUAGGGGUUACAGUUUUGUGUUACAGGGGUAAAAGCUGUGUUACAGCUGUGUUACAGGGGUCACAGGUGUGUUACAGGUGUGUGUAACAGGUAUGUUACGGGAGUGUUACAGGUAUGUAACAGGUGUGUUACAGGGGUUACAGGUGCGUUACAGAUGUGUUACAGGUGUGUUACAGGUGUGUU